UUUUGUAAUUUGUAAAAGUUCAGCAGACAUUAAUGGCAACUAUUAUGCAACUUUUUCAGUAGAGAGCACAGGAUGGUCUAUUGGGAGCAUUUUCAAGUCUCCAGUCCCAGUGUUGAAGGUCCACUACACUCCUACCAGUGAUACGUUUGGUGCUGAUGCUGAGAUAAUGAAAAAGUUGAAGAAUAACUUAAAGUCAUCAGUGCAGUUUGAAAUAACAAGCAGGAAGAACUGCAGCAUCAUCAUCGUCUUCUGUCCAGUCAGCCGCAGUUUUGAAUCAGAAGUAAAGUUGGCCAUGGAAAAGGAAGCAGUCUCAUCGUCUGGUAAACCAGUCAUUCUGGUUCUGAUGCAUCACACCAGAGACCCGGACUAUCUCACUGCAGGAUGUGACGCCUCUGAAGUUCUGAAAAAUGUGUUUUAUGUCCAUAUUUUUUACCAUGAGACUG